rnacentral:rRNA from 1 species
UUCGCCCUUAGAGUUUGAUCCUGGCUCAGGACGAACGCUGGCGGCGCGCCUAACACAUGCAAGUCGAACGAGCGAGAGAGAGCUUGCUUUCUCGAGCGAGUGGCGAACGGGUGAGUAACGCGUGAGGAACCUGCCUCAAAGAGGGGGACAACAGUUGGAAACGACUGCUAAUACCGCAUAAGCCCACGGCUCGGCAUCGAGCAGAGGGAAAAGGAGCAAUCCGCUUUGAGAUGGCCUCGCGUCCGAUUAGCUAGUUGGUGAGGUAACGGCCCACCAAGGCGACGAUCGGUAGCCGGACUGAGAGGUUGAACGGCCACAUUGGGACUGAGACACGGCCCAGACUCCUACGGGAGGCAGCAGUGGGGAAUAUUGCACAAUGGGGGAAACCCUGAUGCAGCGACGCCGCGUGGAGGAAGAAGGUCUUCGGAUUGUAAACUCCUGUUGUUGGGGAAGAUAAUGACGGUACCCAACAAGGAAGUGACGGCUAACUACGUGCCAGCAGCCGCGGUAAAACGUAGGUCACAAGCGUUGUCCGGAAUUACUGGGUGUAAAGGGAGCGCAGGCGGGAAGACAAGUUGGAAGUGAAAUCUAUGGGCUCAACCCAUAAACUGCUUUCAAAACUGUUUUUCUUGAGUAGUGCAGAGGUAGGCGGAAUUCCCGGUGUAGCGGUGGAAUGCGUAGAUAUCGGGAGGAACACCAGUGGCGAAGGCGGCCUACUGGGCACCAACUGACGCUGAGGCUCGAAAGUGUGGGUAGCAAACAGGAUUAGAUACCCUGGUAGUCCACACCGUAAACGAUGAUUACUAGGUGUUGGAGGAUUGACCCCUUCAGUGCCGCAGUUAACACAAUAAGUAAUCCACCUGGGGAGUACGACCGCAAGGUUGAAACUCAAAGGAAUUGACGGGGGCCCGCACAAGCAGUGGAGUAUGUGGUUUAAUUCGACGCAACGCGAAGAACCUUACCAAGUCUUGACAUCCCUUGACAGACAUAGAAAUAUGUAUUCUCUUCGGAGCAAGGAGACAGGUGGUGCAUGGUUGUCGUCAGCUCGUGUCGUGAGAUGUUGGGUUAAGUCCCGCAACGAGCGCAACCCUUAUGGUCAGUUACUACGCAAGAGGACUCUGGCGAGACUGCCGUUGACAAAACGGAGGAAGGUGGGGAUGACGUCAAAUCAUCAUGCCCUUUAUGACCUGGGCUACACACGUACUACAAUGGCGUUUAACAAAGAGAAGCAAGACCGCGAGGUGGAGCAAAACUCAGAAACAACGUCUCAGUUCAGAUUGCAGGCUGCAACUCGCCUGCAUGAAGUCGGAAUUGCUAGUAAUCGCGGAUCAGCAUGCCGCGGUGAAUACGUUCCCGGGCCUUGUACUCACCGCCCGUCA